GUUCUCCUCCGCCAUGGCUCACCCCUCUUAGUAUGCCACUCCCCUCUUGAAAACAUCACAUCCCCCUUCUAUCCUGUCAACCAUCCUCCGAAGUAUUAACCCUCUCCUGUUCACUUGUGAAACACCGUCGACGUCUUCUCUGUCCUCCAUGUAUCUAGAUCUGGUACCGCAAGGAGUCGCUAAUGGCUAGAUCUAGACUCCAUGCCAUCCCCACACUCAGAUCUGGUCUCAUCGGUAACAGAGGAUACAUUCAUACUCUUGAGAGAUAGAUUUGGUCUUCAUGUCAUCCCCGCGUUCAGAUCUGGUCUCAUCAAUAACACGGGAUGCCUUCAUCCUCUCGAUGGCUAGAUCUAGGUGCUUGCCCUUCUCCCCAUCGCCUCUGCGAUCUGAUCUCUCACCAUUCCUUCUUCGUUCCAUGGACAAGUCCGAUCUUCCUUCGUUGUCUUGCUAACAGAUGUGGAAACAACACCCGACAAUCUAUGGGUGAUCGGGUGGGUGGUCCAGCCGCCCGCCCAGGGCCGGCGUGGCGUGAUCGCGGCGUCUGACCGUGCACGGCUUUUGGUUCGGAUAUCGGCCGGGAGCCCGCGCCGCGACCUCGAUUGCCACGUACUGCCGUGGAGUGGCGUACGAGACGUGCAGAAGCGUUUUGCCGCACGCUAUCUCGGGCCGCGGUGCGUCUUUCGCAUCGCGAUGGACGACGAGGUGACUGUAUGGACCUGGUAUAUAGAUAUAUUUUAGAGGAUAUAUUUAUUUAUUUUAUUUUGUAUGUAAUUUUUUAGUGAAAUGUCUAAAAAGAUAUAUAUUUAAAAACUGAGAAAAGAUCAU